CUUUGAACUAUAGGUAGUUCAAGGCGGAAGGAG
rnacentral:ncRNA from 1 species